AACGAACGCUGGCGGCAUGCCUAACACAUGCAAGUCGAACGAGACCUUCGGGUCUAGUGGCGCACGGGUGCGUAACGCGUGGGAACCUGCCCUUAGGUUCGGACUAACUCCCCGAAAGGGGUGCUAAUACCGGAUAAUGUCCUCGGACCAAAGAUUUAUCGCCUUUGGAUGGGCCCGCGUUGGAGUAGCUAGUUGGGAGGGUAAAAGCCUACCAAGACGACGAUCCAUAGCUGGUCUGAGAGGAUGAUCAGCCACACUGGGACUGAGACACGGCCCAGACUCCGACGGGAGGCAGCAGUGGGGAAUAGUGGACGAUGGGCGAAAGCCUGAUGCAGCAAUGCCGCGUGAGUGAUGAAGGCCUUAGGGUUGUAAAGCUCUUUUACCCGGGAUGAUAAUGACGGUACCGGGAGAAGAAGCUCCGGCUAACUACGUG
rnacentral:rRNA from 1 species